UUUGCAAGAUUUCCUUUCCUUCUCCCCUGCUCCAAGCCACAAGCUCUCUGUCCUACCCUAUCUCUGCAAGCUCGGCCGGCGCCCAGCUUUCUUCUCAAGAAAACAACGCAUAUAUAAGUGCACACCUGCUCGGCCCCCAUAGCAGCAACAAUCUCAACUCCGGUUCCUUAGCAUCUUCUUCUUCUUCACCUUUUCUCUAAAGAAAACUCUCGGUUUCAAUCUCGGGCCAGCGCUGGCGAUGGAGACCAAGGC
rnacentral:lncRNA from 1 species